UAAAAGCAUAGCUAACACAGCUUUUUAAUAGGCUUUCUCACACAAUGAAGAAGAUCAAGAAGGAUGAAUAAUCAUGGGUCUUGCUAUGAGUUGAACCCUGAGGAUGUGAUACAAAGCAAGAGGCUGGAGUGAAUGGCUGCUUCCCCACAUAGAAGGAGUUAAACCCUACUGUUUGAGGAUUAUGUGCAGAAGCAGUAUUUCAGGAUCACAUCAGUAAAGGACAUCAAGCGCCUUCGAUAGGAACUACAUGGAUACCAAAUGUUUAAAUCCCAGUAACUACUCCUCGUAGCCCCACAUAGGAGCUGCUCUGGGACUGCAAAGUCUACAGGACAAGGUAAAUGCAGAGUGCAAUCAAGUGCAAACAGUGUGGAGUACAAGGCAGCAAAGAACCACACCUUGAAACAGCAUGAUUUAUUGAGUACUUGGCAUUAAAGGGGAAGGGCCCUUCCUUACCACCUGUUGCAGAAGCUCUUCAAUGAAGACACAAUGAAACUAAGUAGAUAAAUCUCAAUCAAAAUAAGUGAUAGGUAGAAAACUGUGAAAGGUGAAAUUAAAGCCUAAAGUCUAAUUAUGUACAUAGCUG
rnacentral:lncRNA from 1 species